AUGCAUUCUAGUUCUAGAAGAAACUAUGAUUCCGGUGCUUUCAAGCGUAAGAAGAAAUUUAAAUUAGAAGAGGGUGCUGAAUCUCAAAGGAAAAGACCCCGAACUAAUUCUGAAAAUCAAACACCAAAAGCUAAUAUUGAUGAUGGUCAUGGUAAUAAUGCAGAAGAGGCUGAGGUUCCCGCUACAGAAAUUCAUGAAGGUGAUGAUGGUCAUAGUGAUAAUGCAGAAGAGGUCGAGGCUCCCACGACGGAAAUUGGUGAAGGUAACGAUGCCAAUAUUGCUGAUGAAGAUCAUGGUCCUAAUAUUUCCGAUGACAUGAAUAAUUCUGUUCAGCCUGAUAUUUUUUAUCCUAGAAAUUGGGAUGGCCUUGAUCCUAAAAAGAUUGAUAUUGUGUUGUAAAAGGGUCUUAAAAGAGAAGAUAUUGAGCAUGGUCCGUAUGACGAGUUCUCUAGAAGGUUUUCUGCAUUAUCAUUUAACAAAAUUCUCUCAAAUGGAGAAAUGUUUGACAGAGACUGGCUUGUAUACAGUAGCGACCUUCACAAAGUAUUUUGUUUUUGUUGCAAGUUAUUAAAAAGGGGGCUUGUUAGAGGCCAGCUAGCAAAUGAUGGUUUAAGUAACUGGAUUCAUCUUGGGGCUAGACUUAAAGAGCAUGAAUCAAGUAGAGAGCAUAUCACAAAUAUAACUGCAUGGUAUGACUACUGUCUCAGAUUCGAGAAGAAUCAAACAAUUGAUAAAGUUGCUCAGCGAGAACUUGAAAAAGAAAAGGAACAUUGGAGAAAAGUUUUGCUCAGGAUUUUGUUGAUUGUAAAAUUUCUUGACGACUGCAGUAUGCGUAAAAUAUGA
rnacentral:rRNA from 1 species